GCGUAAAGCGCACGCAGGCGGUCUGUCAAGUCGGAUGUGAAAUCCCCGGGCUCAACCUGGGAACUGCAUUCGAAACUGGCAGGCUUGAGUCUUGUAGAGGGGGGUAGAAUUCCAGGUGUAGCGGUGAAAUGCGUAGAGAUCUGGAGGAAUACCGGUGGCGAAGGCGGCCCCCUGGACAAAGACUGACGCUCAGGUGCGAAAGCGUGGGGAGCAAACAGGAUUAGAUACCCUGGUAGUCCACGCCGUAAACGAUGUCUACUUGGAGGUUGUGCCCUUGAGGCGUGGCUUCCGGAGCUAACGCGUUAAGUAGACCGCCUGGGGAGUACGGCCGCAAGGUUAAAACUCAAAUGAAUUGACGGGGGCCCGCACAAGCGGUGGAGCAUGUGGUUUAAUUCGAUGCAACGCGAAGAACCUUACCUGGUCUUGACAUCCACAGAACUUUCCAGAGAUGGAUUGGUGCCUUCGGGAACUGUGAGACAGGUGCUGCAUGGCUGUCGUCAGCUCGUGUUGUGAAAUGUUGGGUUAAGUCCCGCAACGAGCGCAACCCUUAUCCUUUGUU
rnacentral:rRNA from 1 species